AGCCCUGCUUCUCUUCCCUGCUUUUUUCUUAGGGCUUCAAGGAUGAUCAGAGCAAUCCUGAUUGAUCAUACUGGCACAUGACCACUUUGACCAGAGUCACACUGAAGCACCAAAGAAAUACAGGAAAGAUUAGCAGGGAUUUCAAAUGAACUGCUGCACUGGCUACAUGGGUAGUUACAGCUGACCACCCACAGAGCUGCAGCACUAGGGUGAGGUUGACAUCAAGCUCCUACCGGCGAGAUCCCAGAAAAUGGUGUUUAGAAAAUCUUGAGAGAAGGCAUUCCUGCUCUCUGCUGAAGCAUCAUCUCACAAAAUUUGGUCUUGGCAUUACGAACAUGAAGUCACCCUGCAGGACAGAAACCGUAAUCCUGCAAAUAGCACACUUCCUGUCCCUUGGCGGCUCUGCUUACACCGCCAUCAUAUCUAUGGAAGGAGCCAUGGGUGUUACCUAACCUGGACUGCAGCUUAUGUAGAAGGACGUGUGUCUCCAGCUCUGCCAGUUAUCCGUGCAAUACUCCUCGAUGAAUCUGGACUGCAGCUGUGCCUAAUCCUUUGGUACCAGUACAAAGCCUUCUCCUGGACUAGCCCUGUAACAUUCUCAGGACCGAGGCACACAGCUAUAUGUACUGCAAGUCUGCAUGAACUAUUUACAUGUUGACACUUGAAUUAUCUAGUUGUAACAAAUAUAGGAUGUUUGUGGGCGGGGUCAUUUGUGAACACGGGGGAUAUCCUUCAUGUGGAGCGUGCUCAUCAUGGCUCAUGACCAGGCGGAGACUGCGGUGAAGAAUCUAACAUUAAAACCCAUUGUGUCCCCUAUUUAGUUUUACAAAUCAUGUGUUGUAUAUGUAUGCAUUUUAUGUGAACUAUUAAAAGUUGUUAUUAAUUUUA